UAUGGUCACACCACAUUGAAAAACUGGUUCCCAUACAAUCAUCAAAGUUAAGCAAUGCUGAGCCUGGUCAGUAUCUUGAUGGGUGACCAUUUGGGGAUACCAGGUGCUGUAA